GGUGACAGUCAUCAAAUCUGCCCUUAAAGCCUCUUCCAAUACUCGAACCCGAGGGGCAUUCAAUGGGGUGUGGUGCGCAUACUGCUGCGCUCGAGUUUGAUCUCCCCUCCGGUGAUCGACCCUCCUAUAAGCUCUCCCGAACGUCUGUCUGACGCCUCUCUCCCUGUUCAUCCGCACCGAUGGCUCUCCCUCCUCUCUUCCCC
rnacentral:lncRNA from 1 species